rnacentral:misc_RNA from 1 species
UACGAGUGCCCCAAGCGUUAUCCGGAAUUACUGGGCGUAAAGGGUGUGUAGGUGGCCAUGUUAGUCUCCUGUUAAAUCUCCCGGCUUAACCGGGAAGCUGCGGGAGAAACGGCAUGGCUAGAGGGUGUGAGAGGUCUGGGGAACUCACGGUGUAGGGGUGAAAUCCGUUGAUAUCGUGGGGAACACCAAAAGCGAAGGCACCAGACUGGCGCAUUCCUGACACUGAGGCACGAAAGCGUGGGUAGCGAAUGGG